rnacentral:rRNA from 1 species
UCCUACGGGUGGCAGCAGUGGGGAAUAUUGGACAAUGGGCGAAAGCCUGAUCCAGCAAUGCCGCGUGAGUGAUGAAGGCCUUAGGGUUGUAAAGCUCUUUUACCAGGGAUGAUAAUGACAGUACCUGGAGAAUAAGCUCCGGCUAACUCCGUGCCAGCAGCCGCGGUAAUACGGAGGGAGCUAGCGUUGUUCGGAAUUACUGGGCGUAAAGCGCACGUAGGCGGCUACUCAAGUCAGAGGUGAAAGCCCGGGGCUCAAACCCGGAACUGCCUGUGAAACUAGGUAGCUAGAAUCUUGGAGAGGUCAGUGGAAUUCCGAGUGUAGAGGUGAAAUUCGUAGAUAUUCGGAAGAACACCAGUGGCGAAGGCGACUGACUGGACAAGUAUUGACGCUGAGGUGCGAAAGCGUGGGGAGCAAACAGGAUUAGAUACCCGUGUAGUCUU